rnacentral:rRNA from 1 species
UCCUCCCUCGGGCGGCGUGCUUAACACAUGCAAGUCGAACGAAGAGCGAUGGAAGCUUGCUUCUAUCAAUCUUAGUGGCGAACGGGUGAGUAACGCGUAAUCAACCUGCCCUUCAGAGGGGGACAACAGUUGGAAACGACUGCUAAUACCGCAUACGAUCCAAUCUCGGCAUCGGGACUGGAUGAAAGGUGGCCUCUAUUUAUAAGCUAUCACUGAAGGAGGGGAUUGCGUCUGAUUAGCUAGUUGGAGGGGUAACGGCCCACCAAGGCGAUGAUCAGUAGCCGGUCUGAGAGGAUGAACGGCCACAUUGGGACUGAGACACGGCCCAGACUCCUACGGGAGGCAGCAGUGGGGAAUCUUCCGCAAUGGACGAAAGUCUGACGGAGCAACGCCGCGUGAGUGAUGACGGCCUUCGGGUUGUAAAGCUCUGUUAAUCGGGACGAAUGGUUCUUGUGCGAAUAGUGCGAGGAUUUGACGGUACCGGAAUAGAAAGCCACGGCUAACUACGUG